GAAAGAUCAGUUCCAUGAUGCCUGGGGAUUAAAUCCUGAGACAACGAUGGUCCUGGAGAUGGCAAUUUAUGGAGGCCUUUGAGUGACUGCUCUAUUGGUGCUUACUAAAGAGGGCCCAAGACCUGGAUAUUGUUUAAAACCAAAUCAAUAUGCUCUUCAAUGUGAUCUUCAAGAGUGAAAUAGGACAAGGGCUUUCACUUAUUUUAUACUGGUUUUCUAGGACUUGCUCACCUGGUGACAUACUGAUAAUAUGACAGGUUGACCUCAGAUAUUCAGCAAACAUUAAUGCUGCAGCAAUGCCCAAGCCCUUGCACAUUCACACGAAGUUACUCUUCGGCUGUAAAGGAUCCUUUUAAAAGAGAGAAAGUGAAUAUAAUGGAGGAGAAAGGAACUGGGGAGGAAGAAAAAGCCGCUUUUGUGCCAUAUGAAUUAUUUAUUCAGUCAAGCAAUGAACUCACUAUUUCCAACUCUAACAAUCUAUCAGGGAACUCUAGUGAACUCAAAGACUAAUAAAGUUUAAAAACUAUCA